rnacentral:misc_RNA from 1 species
UCCGGUUUGGCACCGGCAGUCCCCCCAGAGUCCCCGCCAUGACGCGCUGGCAACUGGGGGCGGGGGUUGCGCUCGUUGCGGGACUUAACCCAACAUCUCACGACACGAGCUGACGACAGCCAUGCAGCACCUGUGCGUGAGUCCCGAAGGAGGCCCCUGGUUUCUCAGGGGUUUCCCACGCAUGUCAAGCCCGGGUAAGGUUCUGCGCGUUGCGUCGAAUUAAACCACAUGCUCCACCGCUUGUGCGGGCCCCCGUCAAUUCCUUUGAGUUUCAGCCUUGCGGCCGUACUCCCCAGGCGGGGCACUUAAUGCGUUAGCGCCGGCACCCGAGGGGUCGCUCCCCCGAGCACCUAGUGCCCAUCGUUUACGGCGUGGACUAC